rnacentral:rRNA from 1 species
AUGGGGGGUCCGGCCUGCCCGGUGGGGUGCGCUCUUAACGGCUGCGGUAAUUUGCUUCAAAGUAGCUUAAUUUACUCGCCCAUUAAUAGUGGGAGAUGUGAAUGGUUCGACGAGGGCCCAACUGUCUCGGUGCUGGUGAUACGAAAGCGGAGUGCAUGGGAAAGUACCUGCAUGGCGUAGAGGGAAGAGAAGACCCCGUGAAACUUUAUUGUAGUUGGGUGGUACGGGGAAACCUGUAUGUGCCUGGUAAACAAAUUAGCUGGGGCAGCUGGGUAAGCAAAGAAUAUUACACCUCUUCAACAGAGGCUUGCGUGCCAUUAGGAUCCACAGUCUCUUGCUGUUAUAGACGGGGGGGAUCGUGAUCGUCGGAAUUAGUUACUCCGGGGGUAACAGGCUUAUUCUUGCUCUGAUAGACCUUAUUGAUGAGCGGGUUUGGCACCUCGAUGUUGGCUCUGGAUGACCUGGGGGCGCAGAGGCUCCUAGGG